rnacentral:ncRNA from 1 species
UACUAAUAAAGCGCCUGGACCAUCUUAGGAUGGUUGACGAGGAAGAAGUUUAUCGAAAUAUUCGGCGGGUACUUCUCGGUCGCUGUAUGACCGAAAAAAGAUGCAAAAACCAGACGUAAGUCUGCAACAAAUCAU